rnacentral:rRNA from 1 species
GACGAACGCUGGCGGCGUGCUUAACACAUGCAAGUCGAACGGAAAGGCCCUGCUUUUGUGGGGUGCUCGAGUGGCGCGCGGGUGAGUAACACGUGAGUAACCUGCCCUUGACUUUGGGGUAACUUCAGGAAACUGGGGCUCAUACCGGGUAGGAGCUCCUGCUGCAUGGUGGGGGUUGGAAAGUUUCGGCGGUUGGGGCUGGAAUCGCGGCUUAUCAGCUUGUUGGUGUGGUAGUGGCUUACCAGGCCUUUGACGGGUAGCCGGCCUGAGAGGGUGACCGGCCACAUGGGGACUGAGAUACGGCCCAGACUCGUACGGGAGGCAGCAGUGGGGAAUAUUGCACAAUGGGCGGAAGCCUGAGGCAGCAAUGCCGCGUGCGGGAUGACGGCCUUCGGGUGGUAAACCGCUUUCGACUGUGACGAAGCGGGAGUGACGGUAAUGGGUAAAGAAGCACCGGCUAACUACGUG